AUGCCACUAAAAGUUAUGAUUUUCAUGUGGUAUCUUCGAAGAGGAGUUGUGCUAACUAAAGACAAUCUUGCUAGACGCAACUGGCAAGGAAGCAAGAAGUGUAGUUUUUGUACUCAUGGCGAGACAAUCAAACACCUCUUCUUUCAAUGGAAGUUUGCGCGUUCUACAUGGUUCGUCAUCCAAAUAGCGUCCAAUUUGUAUGGCCGACAAGUGUUGCCAAUAUAUAUGGUCACUGGCUUGACGGAAUACCAAAUACGAUUAGUACGCUAA
rnacentral:rRNA from 1 species